rnacentral:rRNA from 1 species
ACUGAAGGAAGCAGUGUGUUUUUAUCCCUGUUUGUAAAGAGGGGGUAACCCGUGGAACCUCCUUUGUGAUUGGGGUAGGGGCUUGCAGCUGUUCCCCUUGAAC